AACAAAACUGCUAACCUUCCUUGUAGAUAGUUAAGCUGUGUUUCACAGCAGCAAAGGGAUCCCAUUUCUUAUCGAAACCUGUAAGACUCAGGACGGCUGAGGAUGAGAGGAAUUAAUUGUCACUGUCGUAUAAACUUUUGAGACACUGUUCCUGGCAACACUGAUUCAAAUUGCUUAGUAGACACUUAGCCUUUUGUCCAACAUGGUAAUAUUAGAUUAAGUAAAUGAAAAAGGAAAAAGGUAGACACUGGAAGAGGGUGUGUACCGUCUAGAAAUAAGGCCCACUCUGAGGUUGUGUGAGCCUUUAUAAACAUCUGUAUGGAAAGUGUUUAAAUGAGCAUGUAUCCAGUUUGUAACUUAAAGCCUAGAAAUAAAACUAAAAGAACUUCCCUCUGCCCACUUCUCACGCCAAAUCUUUAACAAUUAUUCUGUUUAGAUUCUUCAAAAUACAGUCAGAUUUUAUGACCAGAUUUCUCGUUGUCUGCCUCUGUCCAUUACGCCCUUCCAUGAUGUAGGGGCCUGGUCUGUCUAAUCACUGUGAGAUCCCAGCCUCUAGCAGGGAGACUGGCACCUUGCGGGCAGCAUCUCUAGGGAAUGAGCCCGGGAAGGGGUGUGGCCUGAAAGCCCUCAGACCCCACACAUGGUUAUGGGAAUUUGUGUAUGUAUAAAAGUCUGCCCGCUAACAGUUGCUCAUACAUCACUACCCACCCUCCCCAGCUCCCGGAAUGCAGGGCAGUUUGCGGAAAGCCCCACUUGCUUUCCACACCCUACCUUUCCAGGUCUCUUCACUAACUCCUCCAAUGCCAUAUAGUCACCCUCAGGGAGCCCUUAAUUCCUGAGGGUCUGCUGGCUGACGUAAACAAAACAGUCCUCUUGAUAUGCUGCGGGAGCUCUGCUCAUCGAUGUUUGCUUUAAAUUGUGAAAAGGAGUGAUUUCUGCACAGAAAUGGAACGGUCACUAAGCCGCAGGGACUGGAGUUUGUCCCUUGGGUGUGUGCCAUUGUAGCCACCAGUCCAUCUUAAGUUCCAGUCGCUAAGUUUAGAGGGAGAUACAUGACUGGUUGGUUCUAGAGCUGCUCUGUCCAAAACAGAAGCCACUACCCACGUGUAACAUCUUCAGUAUAAAUAAAAGAAUUACAAAUCCAGGACCACAUUUCAAGUUGUUGGUGGCUGCCAUAUUGGAUAGCAAAGAUACAGGACAUAACCUGUUGUCAAGUAAGUUCUAGUGGCAGCACUGAGCUAGGUCCUUCUUGCCCCUGUGGGUUAUCAUGUUCAGGUGCACUCAACCAGCUUCCUCCAGGUGGCGUCUGAUAAAACAUGGGAUACUUAGUUAAAUUGCAAUCUCAGAUACACAACACAUAAUUGCUUUAUUAUCCAUCUGCCCUGAAAUACUGCAUGAGACAUACUGUACUAAGACAAAAAUUGUUUAUCGGAAAUGCAUACAUAACGGAGCACCCUGUGUUUUCAUUUGCCAAAUCUGGCGACCUCAUCUGCAGAGCAAGAUCAGACCACCUUCCCUGAGAAGCUGGGUUCUCUCAUCAUCCGGGUUUUUAUAUAAGGAACUGAGAAGCUAACUCACGAGGAAACGGGUGUCUAAACGCUUGUCACUGCAGAGAUGCCUGAAUCCGAGUGUUUGUCGCAGUCGCCGGUGCUCAGAAAUAGAUGGACGGCAUCCAAGUUCUGACGUCACUGACCGACUCUGCACCUGCAAAUUUUUCCUAUUGAAAACUUGCUCCCGUCUAAUUACUUAGUGUACCUGUGUGCCCUGGGGUUAAGGAGAGUAAAGGGGAGAGAAACUAUUACUGAAGGGAAGCAGCUCUCUGUCGUCCAAAAAUGUGUCUAGUUUUUUUGAAUGAGCAAUGCAUUCGGAGGGUUCAAACAAACCAACAAGGUGUGCGUGGAGAAUGUCCUCUUCCACUGGACCAGGCCACUGUUCCCUAGGCCAUCUGCAGUGUUCAUUCAUGCAGUGUGAGACAAGGAGUGAGUGCCCUAUCCCGCAUGCCACCCCCCUGCAUUCAAUGUCUUGGAGAACUUUCCAGACUGAUACAGGAGCUUCUGUACCGUCGCCUGGUGGUGGUCUGUGUGGCUGCAUCACAGUUUAUGUAACCUGCCUCCCUGUUGGGAGGCAGUGGAGACAACUGGGGAAUGGUUAGCUCUGAUUUACAGCUAGUUGAAAGUGUUCUCAUAUUCUGCUGCGACGGUGGAAAGAGAACAGAAAUUGAAGUCCCUCGUGGGUGGGACUCAAGUUUCUGCCCCUUAAAAACGAUGUGGCCUCAGCCAAGGCAGAACCGUUGGAUCUCCGUUUCUUCGUCUGGGAAAUGCGGGUAACAGAAUGAAGAAAAGAUCAUGCGUCUGAAUUGUUUGGAGCUGUAAAGAACAGCACAAAUAAAAUUAGUUCAUUUUCAACACCAUUUCUUGUGUGAGAGUUACGCAUACUAUAUUGUAAUAGGAACAGAUUCCCCAAGUGCCGGCUUGGCACCAGGAAAGGGAAGAUGGUGCCAAGUGGGAGGACGACAGUUGCACUGACCUCUCGGGACGCCUCCCUGGUCUGGUAAAUGGCCGCUGCCGUCCUCCUCACACAGGGCUUGGGAAGCAGGGCCCACCGCCCGCACUCAAGGUUGGGUUUGAAGGUCUCUGCUCUCCGUGAAAUCUGGUUGUUGGGGGCGGGGCCUGCUUGGAUCUCCGCAGGGCACCCCGUCACCCAUGGGCAUGUGUGUAGGAGACCCUGGGACACCUGAAUCCAUGGAGGGGGUUGUAGGAGACAGACAACGCCUCAGCCUUACCACAUACCUGCAAUAAGUGUGUGUCUGCAUGCGUGCAGCCCAGACAUGCAGCGAUGUUCCUUCUGGAACAGUGCGUUUGGGUUCCAGCUGUGCCCAGAGCCUGACUGAGGGACUCACCUGCCACUCCCGAAAAUCAGGCUUUUCACCUUGUCACGCAGGGUGGCAUGCGAGGUCUCAGCUCCCGCUCCCCACACAAGAACACAGGACAUGGUGAGGCCAAAAAGGAACACCC